AAGGCAAGAACAAGAGAGGAAGUGAGUGUUCAUUACAAAGUGUGCCUCUCGGUUAUGGGCAUGCCCAGUAGAGUUCGCCUUGCAGCCUGAAAUCCAGCCUCUAAAUUUGAACAGGAGGGAGACGAGGUGACUGAGCAGACUUUUGUUGCUGCUCUCUCUCCUUCUCGCUCUCGCAGUGUUAUUUUCCCCUCCUCUCCCAGCAGUCAGUGUGUGGAGAGAUUUUUCUUUUGCUAUGGAAGAGCAAGAGGAGGUGCACGUUUUAUCUAGUGCAAAAUACAACAAGGGGGAAGUAAAGAAAAUAAGAAGAAGAAGAGGAAAAAAGAGUCUCCCUCUUCCUCUCCCUCAUUCCCUCCUCUGCCAACGACUUUCACCUCAGAAAUAGCGGAGGGACCAACUUCAAAAGGCAGUCAGGAAGGAGCUGGAGUGUGAAAUCUGAGAAGAGAAGCAAGAUGAGAGGCUGACCGGCGCUCUGUUUGCUAUUCCGUCCAGGACCGGAGUGGACUGCACUGGGCACAGCAGACAGCGUUGAGGAGGAGGAGGAAAGAGAAACACUUUGCAGUUGUGGCGAAAAGAGCUGGAGCCUACAGAAAACACCUGGCAGAGAUCUCAGUGAUCAUGGAGGACUCUGCUGCUGGAGACGAACGCCUGUGAGGAGGUACACAAAAGGAAGCGAGCGAGAAGAACAACGGGCAAAAGGGGCAUCCUGGAUCCGAAGGGGAGGCCGAUCACACCAGGUCAGGACAUGUCGGGGAAUGGUCCGUGAACAUGAGACGGAUCUGACAGCCACACUGACGCAAGCUUCAAACUGCCCAAACACACACAUGCUAUGAUAUGAGAUACUGUGACGCUGUAGAUGUGUUUUACGUGUAAAUAAAAUGUGUUUUAAAAAU